rnacentral:rRNA from 16 species
GACUCUCGGGAAAAGAUAUCUUGGCUCUCGCAUCAAUGAAGAACGUAGCGCAAUGCGAUACCUGGUGUGAAUUGCAGAAUCCCGCGAACCAUCGAGUCCUUGAAUGCAAGUUGCGCACGAGGCCACUCGGCCAAGGGCACGCCUGCCUGGGCGUCA